GACAGAGGUGCCAAGCGUUAGGCGGAAUCACUGGGCUUAAAGCGUGUGUAGGCGGGCCGUUAAGUAUCUUGUGAAAUCCCCCGGCUCAACCGGGGAAUGGCUGGAUAUACUGGCGGUCUUGAGCAGUCUAGGGGCAGAUGGGACAGACGGUGGAGCGGUGAAAUGCGUAGAUAUCGUCUGGAACGCCAAAGGUGAAGACAGUCUGCUGGGGACUUGCUGACGCUGAGACACGAAAGCCAGGGGAGCGAACGGG
rnacentral:rRNA from 1 species